rnacentral:pre_miRNA from 1 species
GAGUGAGAGAAUUAAAUUUGGACCGUAUAACCAAACAUGGAGGGUUAAGAUUUAACGUUAAAAAGUCACAUGACUUUUUAAGUGGUUACAUGACAUUAAAUCUUGAUCGUUCAUGUUUGGUUAUACGGUCCAGAUUUAAUCUUGUUACUC